rnacentral:rRNA from 1 species
ACGUAGGUCCCGAGCGUUGUCCGGAUUUAUUGGGCGUAAAGCGAGCGCAGGCGGUUCUUUAAGUCUGAAGUUAAAGGCAGUGGCUUAACCAUUGUACGCUUUGGAAACUGGAGGACUUGAGUGCAGAAGGGGAGAGUGGAAUUCCAUGUGUAGCGGUGAAAUGCGUAGAUAUAUGGAGGAACACCGGUGGCGAAAGCGGCUCUCUGGUCUGUAACUGACGCUGAGGCUCGAAAGCGUGGGGAGCAAACAG